GUAGUUGAAGAAAAAUGGUGACAGUAAAGGGUACAAGUCACGUCACCCAAAGUGACUUGCCUUCUAUUAUCCCGUCUGCGGCCCUGCGAUUUCUGGGCGUAGACCCGCAAGCUUUGGAUGUUGGCAAAACAAUAGACAUUAACAGAACUCUCAUAGCCACUUUCAUAUCGAAAUAUUUUGAACUUGGCAAAGAAUCGGUGACUCGAAAAUAUUGACAGAGGAUUCCGAACACGUGAUCAUAGGAAGCAAUGUUGAAGUUUAAUCUAAAAUUACUCACAAUAAUGAUAUCAUAAAAAUGACUACUGUAUGUAUUCAUACGAAUAAGAAAUUUCAUAUAUGCUAAA